UCUAUGAUUAAGUUAAUUGUUUUUGUUCGGUAAGGCUGAUAGAAGGAAUUUACUUCAAUGUUUUUCGUCUUGAAAGAUUAUGCAGAGCAAGAAUGGUAAUACAAUUGUGGAUUUAUCCACUGUAGGAGGAAACAUAAUGUUAGAAGGUAAAGUAAAAUGGUUCAACGCUGAAAAAGGUUUCGGUUUCAUCGAAGUAGACGGACAAGACGAUGUAUUCGUUCAUUUCUCCGCUAUUCAAGGCGACGGUUUCAAAUCUUUAGAAGAAGGUCAAACAGUAACUUUCGAAAUCGAGCAAGGCGCUCGUGGACCUCAAGCAACUAACGUUCAAAAGUAAUUUUGACGUCAGGAAAAGGCUCUCCAUCCGGAGGGCCUUUUUUG
rnacentral:sRNA from 1 species